AAUAAAUACAGUUUUAUAUUAUUUAUCCCCAACGUUUGAUCGUUCGUCUUAUUUAAAAAAAUUUUAUGAUUACUAUUUUUAUUGUUAUUAGAUGAUAAAACAUAAAAAGUAUUUUAUGUGUGACUAAUUUUUUUAAAUUUUUUCAUAAAUUUUUCAAAUAAGACGGACGGUCAAACAUUGGACACGGAUUUUUACGGCUGCACUUAUU
rfam:Oryza barthii chromosome 7, whole genome shotgun sequence.